rnacentral:rRNA from 1 species
CUACGGGAGGCAGCAGUCGAGGAAAUUUUACAAUGCUCGAAAGAGUGAUAAAAUAAACCAGAGUGUUCCAUUUUAUGGAACUUUUAUCUGUUGUAAAAAGACAGAGGAAUAAGGACUGGGCAAGACUGGUGGCCAGCCGCCGCGGUAAUACCGGCGGUCCAAGUCGUAUCCACAAUUAUUGGGUCUAAAACAUUCGUAGCUUGUUUGAUAAGUCUCUUGUGAAAUCCUAUAUCUCAAAUAUAGGGCGGGCAAGAGAUACUGUCUUACUAGAGACCGGAAGGCGCAAAGAGUAUGAUUAAGGUAGCGGUAACAUGUUUUAAUCUCAAUUAGACUAACAAUGGCGAAGGCACUUUGCGAGUACGGAUCUGACAGUGAGGGAUGAAGGCUAGGGGCGCAAAAGGGAUUAGAUACCCCUGUAGUC